rnacentral:tRNA from 1 species
UCCCUGGUGGCUCAGAGGUAAAGAAUCUGCCUGUAAUGCAGGAGACUCGGGUUCGAAUCCUGGGUUGGGAA